rnacentral:rRNA from 1 species
UUAAGCGACUAAGCGUACACGGUGGAUGCCCUGGCAGUCAGAGGCGAUGAAGGACGUGCUAAUCUGCGAUAAGCGUCGGUAAGGUGAUAUGAACCGUUAUAACCGGCGAUUUCCGAAUGGGGAAACCCAGUGUGUUUCGACACACUAUCAUUAACUGAAUCCAUAGGUUAAUGAGGCGAACCGGGGGAACUGAAACAUCUAAGUACCCCGAGGAAAAGAAAUCAACCGAGAUUCCCCCAGUAGCGGCGAGCGAACGGGGAGCAGCCCAGAGCCUGAAUCAGUGUGUGUGUUAGUGGAAGCGUCUGGAAAGGCGCGCGAUACAGGGUGACAGCCCCGUACACAAAAAUGCACAUAUUGUGAGCUCGAUGAGUAGGGCGGGACACGUGGUAUCCUGUCUGAAUAUGGGGGACCAUCCUCCAAGGCUAAAUACUCCUGACUGACCGAUAGUGAACCAGUACCGUGAGGGAAAGGCGAAAAGAACCCCGGCGAGGGGAGUGAAAAAGAACCUGAAACCGUGUACGUACAAGCAGUGGGAGCCUCUUUUAUGGGGUGACUGCGUACCUUUUGUAUAAUGGGUCAGCGACUUAUAUUCUGUAGCAAGGUUAACCGAAUAGGGGAGCCGAAGGGAAACCGAGUCUUAACUGGGCGUUAAGUUGCAGGGUAUAGACCCGAAACCCGGUGAUCUAGCCAUGGGCAGGUUGAAGGUUGGGUAACACUAACUGGAGGACCGAACCGACUAAUGUUGAAAAAUUAGCGGAUGACUUGUGGCUGGGGGUGAAAGGCCAAUCAAACCGGGAGAUAGCUGGUUCUCCCCGAAAGCUAUUUAGGUAGCGCCUCGUGAAUUCAUCUCCGGGGGUAGAGCACUGUUUCGGCAAGGGGGUCAUCCCGACUUACCAACCCGAUGCAAACUGCGAAUACCGGAGAAUGUUAUCACGGGAGACACACGGCGGGUGCUAACGUCCGUCGUGAAGAGGGAAACAACCCAGACCGCCAGCUAAGGUCCCAAAGUCAUGGUUAAGUGGGAAACGAUGUGGGAAGGCCCAGACAGCCAGGAUGUUGGCUUAGAAGCAGCCAUCAUUUAAAGAAAGCGUAAUAGCUCACUGGUCGAGUCGGCCUGCGCGGAAGAUGUAACGGGGCUAAACCAUGCACCGAAGCUGCGGCAGCGACACUAUGUGUUGUUGGGUAGGGGAGCGUUCUGUAAGCCUGUGAAGGUGUGCUGUGAGGCAUGCUGGAGGUAUCAGAAGUGCGAAUGCUGACAUAAGUAACGAUAAAGCGGGUGAAAAGCCCGCUCGCCGGAAGACCAAGGUUCCUGUCCAACGUUAAUCGGGGCAGGGUGAGUCGACCCCUAAGGCGAGGCCGAAAGGCGUAGUCGAUGGGAAACAGGUUAAUAUUCCUGUACUUGGUGUUACUGCGAAGGGGGGACGGAGAAGGCUAUGUUGGCCGGGCGACGGUUGUCCCGGUUUAAGCGUGUAGGCUGGUUUUCCAGGCAAAUCCGGAAAAUCAAGGCUGAGGCGUGAUGACGAGGCACUACGGUGCUGAAGCAACAAAUGCCCUGCUUCCAGGAAAAGCCUCUAAGCAUCAGGUAACAUCAAAUCGUACCCCAAACCGACACAGGUGGUCAGGUAGAGAAUACCAAGGCGCUUGAGAGAACUCGGGUGAAGGAACUAGGCAAAAUGGUGCCGUAACUUCGGGAGAAGGCACGCUGAUAUGUAGGUGAAGUCCCUCGCGGAUGGAGCUGAAAUCAGUCGAAGAUACCAGCUGGCUGCAACUGUUUAUUAAAAACACAGCACUGUGCAAACACGAAAGUGGACGUAUACGGUGUGACGCCUGCCCGGUGCCGGAAGGUUAAUUGAUGGGGUCAGCGCAAGCGAAGCUCUUGAUCGAAGCCCCGGUAAACGGCGGCCGUAACUAUAACGGUCCUAAGGUAGCGAAAUUCCUUGUCGGGUAAGUUCCGACCUGCACGAAUGGCGUAAUGAUGGCCAGGCUGUCUCCACCCGAGACUCAGUGAAAUUGAACUCGCUGUGAAGAUGCAGUGUACCCGCGGCAAGACGGAAAGACCCCGUGAACCUUUACUAUAGCUUGACACUGAACAUUGAGCCUUGAUGUGUAGGAUAGGUGGGAGGCUUAGAAGUGUGGACGCCAGUCUGCAUGGAGCCGACCUUGAAAUACCACCCUUUAAUGUUUGAUGUUCUAACGUUGACCCGUGAUCCGGGUUGCGGACAGUGUCUGGUGGGUAGUUUGACUGGGGCGGUCUCCUCCUAAAGAGUAACGGAGGAGCACGAAGGUUGGCUAAUCCUGGUCGGACAUCAGGAGGUUAGUGCAAUGGCAUAAGCCAGCUUGACUGCGAGCGUGACGGCGCGAGCAGGUGCGAAAGCAGGUCAUAGUGAUCCGGUGGUUCUGAAUGGAAGGGCCAUCGCUCAACGGAUAAAAGGUACUCCGGGGAUAACAGGCUGAUACCGCCCAAGAGUUCAUAUCGACGGCGGUGUUUGGCACCUCGAUGUCGGCUCAUCACAUCCUGGGGCUGAAGUAGGUCCCAAGGGUAUGGCUGUUCGCCAUUUAAAGUGGUACGCGAGCUGGGUUUAGAACGUCGUGAGACAGUUCGGUCCCUAUCUGCCGUGGGCGCUGGAGAACUGAGGGGGGCUGCUCCUAGUACGAGAGGACCGGAGUGGACGCAUCACUGGUGUUCGGGUUGUCAUGCCAAUGGCACUGCCCGGUAGCUAAAUGCGGAAGAGAUAAGUGCUGAAAGCAUCUAAGCACGAAACUUGCCCCGAGAUGAGUUCUCCCUGACCCUUUAAGGGUCCUGAAGGAACGUUGAAGACGACGACGUUGAUAGGCCGGGUGUGUAAGCGCAGCGAUGCGUUGAGCUAACCGGUACUAAUGAACCGUGAGGCUUAACCUU